UAUCAAAGUUAUGUAGAUAUUUCAACAUUACUAUGUCACAUAUACUAGGUUCUUGCAUCGUAGUUGCAAAUGAAUUUUUACUUACCUUUCACCUUUGUGUGUGCAAGCUUCUAUGGAGAUUAGAUCAAUAUCAUUUUUCACUCGAAGUUGGAAAAUCACCUGUAUUACCAUUUAAUAUUAAAGAGAAUCCUCAAUUUAAUAACCUUAACGCACAAAAUCCCAAAAUACAUCCAUUCUCACCAAAAUAAUUUAGACGGAAUCAUCAUUUCAAG
rnacentral:lncRNA from 1 species